rnacentral:rRNA from 1 species
GUACCGUGAGGGAAAGGUGAAAAGAACCCCGGAAGGGGAGUGAAAAGAACCUGAAACCGUGUGCUUACAAGUAGUCAGAGCCCGUUAAUGGGUGAUGGCGUACCUUUUGCAGAAUGGACCGGCGAGUAAUGAUCCCAUGCGAGGUUAAACCGAAGAGGUGGAGCCGCAGCGAAAGCGAGUCUGAAUAGGGCGCGUAGUAUGUGAUUGUUGACCCGAAACCAGGUGACCUAUCCAUGUCCAGGGUGAAAGUGCGGUGAAACGCACCGGAGGCCCGAACCCACGUAUGUUGAAAAAUGCGGGGAUGAGGUGUGGAUAGAGGAGAAAUACCAAUCGAACCUGGAGAUAGCUGGUUCUCUCCGAAAUAGUUUUAGGACUAGCCUCAGAAGCUAAGUCUAAUGGAGGUAGAGCGACUGUUAGGACUAGGGCCCUUUACCGGGUACCGAAUCUUGAUAAACUCCGAAUUCCAUUACGACUCUUCUGGGAGUCACACUGUGAGUGCUAAGAUUCAUAGUGGAAAGGGAAACAGCCCAGACCAUCAACUAAGGCCCCCAAAUUCUUGUUAAGUGGAAAAGGAUGUGGGGCUGCAUAGACAGCUAGGAUGUUGGCUUAGAAGCAGCCAUCAUUUAAAGAGUGCGUAAUAGCUCACUAGUCGAGUGGCCCCGCGCCGAAAAUGUACCGGGGCUAAACAAGAUGCCGAAGUUAUGGAUGCAUCCUUCGGGAUGCGUGGUAGGAGAGCGUUCUAAGGGCGGUGAAGGCAAAUCGUGAGGAUUGCUGGAGCGCUUAGAAGUGAGAAUGCCGGUAUGAGUAGCGAGACACGGGUGAGAAUCCCGUGCACCGAAUGACUAAGGUUUCCAGGGGAAGGCUCGUCCGCCCUGGGUUAGUCGGGACCUAAGUCGAGGCCGAAAGGCGUAGACGAUGGAUAGCAGGUAGAGAUUCCUGCACUAGUGUUAUUUGUUUGAGCGAAGGAAGGACACAGGAGGCUAUGGCAAGCGCGCUGAUGGAUAUGCGCGUCCAAGCAAUGAGUCUGAGGAGGAGUUAAAUGCUUCUUCUCACACGGACAAGUUGUGAUGGGGAGGGAAGUUUAGUACCGAAGUGCCAGACGUCACACUGUCAAGAAAAGUUCCUAGUGAGAAUAACACUACCCGUACCGCAAUCCGACACAGGUAGUCGAGGAGAGUAUCCUAAGGUGAGCGAGAGAACUCUCGUUAAGGAACUCGGCAACAUGACCCCGUAACUUAGGGAGAAGGGGUGCUGACAAUGUCAGCCGCAGUGAAUAGGCCCAGGCGACUGUUUAUCAAAAACACAGGUCUCUGCUAACUCGAAAGAGGAUGUAUAGGGGCUGACACCUGCCCGGUGCUGGAAGGUUAAGUGGACGCGUUAGCCGCAAGGCGAAGCGCUGAAAUGAAGCCCCAGUAAACGGCGGCCGUAACUAUAACGGUCCUAAGGUAGCGAAAUUCCUUGUCGGGUAAGUUCCGACCUGCACGAAUGGCGUAACGACUUCCCCGCUGUCUCGACCAUGAGCUCGGCGAAAUUGCAGUACGAGUAAAGAUGCUCGUUACGCGCGGCAGGACGAAAAGACCCCGGGACCUUCACUAUAGCUUGGUAUUGGUGUUCGAUUCGGUUUGUGUAGGAUAGGUGGGAGACUGUGAAGCAUUGGCGCCAGCUGGUGUGGAGUCAUUGUUGAAAUACCACUCUGGUCACUUUGGAUAUCUAACUAGGAACCGUGAUCCGGUUCUGGGACAGUGCCUGGUGGGUAGUUUAACUGGGGCGGUUGCCUCCUAAAGAGUAACGGAGGCGCCCAAAGGUUCCCUCAGAAUGGUUGGAAAUCAUUCGUAGAGUGCAAAGGCAGAAGGGAGCUUGACUGCGAGACUUACAAGUCGAGCAGGGACGAAAGUCGGGACUAGUGAUCCGGCACCUACUUGUGGAAGUGGUGUCGCUCAACGGAUAAAAGGUAC